AAAUCCCGCCUACUGCCCGAAGACAGCUAGGAUAGCACGCCCGCGACCCUUGUGAGGAUAAGCGGAUGAGAAAAUGGAUGGAUGGAUAGAGACGGCCCAUACCACACUUUGAGCAUCAAUUUGAUAGAUAUCCUGUUAUGGGUAUGGUUCGACCUUUUCAGCAUUUAUGCUGUUAUUUAAAUUGAGUAGAUUGAGGUUCUCUUUUGUUCGAUAAAAGUGUGCUGCAGUUCCAAUGAAGUAAGUACGUGUGUAGGUGUUGCAAUUAAAGUUUUCUGAAUCUGAAUCUGAAAUUUUGUAUAAUUGAUGCCACUUUGCGUGCUCUCUCCUGACAGUUCUCUCUCACAGGCGCUGGAGCCUUGGGUGCGCUGGGAACGCACAAACCUGAAUGCGGAGUGGGUUUACACAUUAAGGGCUUGCUCUACCAAUUUGACCGGGUUUAUCUGACAAGGGCCCAGAUGUGAACCCAGCCUACAGAGGAAACCGGUGUACCCGGAGAAAACCCACUCAGGCACGGGGAGAACAUGCAAACUCCACACAGGAAGGCGUGAGCCGGAAUUGAACCCUGCACCUCUGCACUAUGAGGCCGACGUGCGAACCAGUCGACCACCAGGCCGCAGAGCGUGUAUACAUAAUAACAAACAUAUGUUGAGCCGAAGAAAUAGAAAUAUGAGUUUGGCUCUGUAUUUUAUCAUGGUGUGCACAUAAUAAAAUAUAUUUUA